rnacentral:misc_RNA from 1 species
GAUGAAGAACGCAGCGAAAUGCGAUAAGUAAUGUGAAUUGCAGAAUUCAGUGAAUCAUCGAAUCUUUGAACGCACAUUGCGCCCGCUAGUAUUCUGGCGGGCAUGCCUGUCCGAGCGUCAUUUCAACCCUCAAGCCCCCGGGCUUGGUGUUGGGGAUCGGCGAGCCUCCGCGCCCGCCGUCCCCUAAAUCUAGUGGCGGUCUCGCUGUGGCUUCCUCUGCGUAGUAGCACACCUCGCACUGGGAAACAGCGCGGCCACGCCGUUAAACCCCCAACUUCUGAACGUUUGACCUCGGAUGAGGUAGGAAUACCCGCUGAACUUAAGCAUAUCAAUAAGCGGAGGA